rnacentral:rRNA from 1 species
CCUACGGGUGGCAGCAGUGAGGAAUAUUGGUCAAUGGACGCAAGUCUGAACCAGCCAUGCCGCGUGCAGGAAGACGGCUCUAUGAGUUGUAAACUGCUUUUGUACGAGGGUAAACGCAGAUACGCGUAUCUGUCUGAAAGUAUCGUACGAAUAAGGAUCGGCUAACUCCGUGCCAGCAGCCGCGGUAAGACGGAGGAUUCAAGCGUUAUCCGGAUUUAUUGGGUUUAAAGGGUGCGUAGGCGGUCGGAUAAGUUAGAGGUGAAAUCCCGAGGCUCAACUUCGGAAUUGCCUCUGAUACUGUGCGGCUAGAGAGUAGAUGCGGUAGGCGGAAUGUAUGGUGUAGCGGUGAAAUGCUUAGAGAUCAUACAGAACACCGAUUGCGAAGGCAGCUUACCAAGCUACUUCUGACGUUGAGGUACGAAAGCGUGGGGAGCAAACAGGAUUAGAUACCCGGGUAGUC